AUGCGAUACUUGGUGUGAAUGCAGAAUUCAGUAUGCGAUACUUGGUGUGAAUUGCAGAAUUCCGUGAAUCAUCGAAUCUUUGAACGCACAUUGCGCCCCCUGGCAUUCCGGGGGGCAUGCCUGUCCGAGCGUCAUUUCUGCCCUCAAGCACGGCUUGUGUGUUGGGUGUGGUCCCCCUGGGGACCUGCCUGAAAGGCAGUGGCGACGCCCGCCUAGGUCCUCGAGCGUAUGGGGCUUUGUCACCCGCUCGGGAAGGAUCUACGGGCGUUGGUCUUCCAUAUCUUUUUCCACGGUUGACCUCGGAUCAGGUAGGAGUUACCCGCUGAACUUAAGCAUAUCAAUAAGCGGAGG
rnacentral:rRNA from 1 species